AUGUCGGAAAUUGGGGCCAUGAUUGCCGCUGCACUUUUGAAGGAGGUGGUGCAGCAGAUUGGUUCGCUGGUGGGAGGUCAGAUCAAGCUGCAGCAGAACUUGGACAAGGACCUCAAGGAGAUGAAGGCUACCCUCGAGUCCAUUGAGGCGCUCCUCAAGGACGCUGAGGACGCCAACACCAACAAUUCCAUGCGUUUGUGGCUCAAUCGUCUCAAAGACGCCAUGUAUGGCAUCGCCGACAUGAUUGACGAUUUUGAAGGAGGAACUGAGGCUGAGCCAACACGAAAGUUCUCCAUCAAGAAACAUUUAGCAGUUAUGAUGCCUUGUAUCACAAUAGGGCCCAAGUUCACAAUGGCUAACAAGAUGAAGACGAUGAGAGAGGAACUGCAAGGGAUCACAGAUCAAUACCAGAAAUUCAAGUUAGAGCCGGGCACUAAUGCCGAUGAGCCAAAUGUAAUACAAAUGCGUGAAACAUCAUCAACCAUUGAGGCAUCAAUCAUUGGGAGGACUGAAGAAGAAAAUAAAAUAUGGGUUUAUUUAUCUGAGAGCAUAAUAGAAGAGCUCAUUGUCCUUGCUAUACACGGCAUUGGAGGCCUUGGCAAGACGACCUUGGCGAAAAUGAUUUACAAUAAUAAAACAAAAUUUGAAGACUACGUCCGGGUAUGGAUUUAUGUAUCCGAGACAUUUGAUUUGAACAAAAUUGGCAAUUCUUUAAUAAGUCAACUGUCAGAAAAUGAGACUUCGUACAGUGAGAAGCAGAUGAUACACAGAUCACUUGCAAAGCUACUAGCCAAUAAGAAGAUUCUGAUUAUUCUAGAUGAUUUGUGGGCAGACGAUGAUUCUCAAUUGGAUAGCCUGACUGCCAUGCUUAAGGUUGGAAAGGGUAGCAAGGUGGUUGUUAUAGCAACCACACGCAAUGAGGAGAUUGCAAGGAAAAUUUCUGCCAUUCAUACUCAAACAAAAAUUUCGACCAUUCCCCCACAUGAGCUAGCAUCACUGACGGAUGAGAUGUGCUGGACUAUAAUAAAGCAAAAAAGUGGCCUUGAAUCUAGAGACGACAAAGAACAGUUGAAGGACAUUGGGGAAGCCAUUGCAGUGAAGUGUGGAGGCGUGGCUUUAGCUGCUCAAUCAAUUGGACCCAUUCUGGAAACUAUGACCUAUCAUCAAUGGAAGAAAGUGAGAGACAGUGAUAUCUGGAAAGUAUCUGCUUCUUCUUUAGAUCCAAAAGAUAAAGCUGCAAGACGGGUGCUUGCAUCCUUGAGGUUAAGCUAUACUUUUAUGCCUCAGUAUUUGAAGCUCUGCUUUGCCUAUUUGUCAAUCUUUCCAAAAGGAUGCAAGAUAUCUAAAGAUGAUCUAAUUCACCAGUGGAUUUCUCUUUUCUUUUAUUGGGGCAACACCAAUGUUCACUGCUUGGGAGCUUGGCGAGAUGUACAUUACACAGCUUUUGAAGCUUUCCUUCCUUGA
rnacentral:rRNA from 1 species